UUUUCUUCUGUGGCUGUGGCUGUGCCUGUGGAUCUCAUAUAAUGCACCGCACUACACGGCCAAACUAAGCGACUUGUCCGAUGAGUGUGCCAAGACAUUUGCCAGCUGCAGUGCCGGACUGCCGGUAACCAAUCAGGAUGCUGCGUUGAAAUGCUUCUAGAAGCAGAGCUAGAUCGACAUGGAUGGAUGGACCUUCUGCACCAGCUCAGACGUGGACGGACGAGUCAAGAUCGAAGCAGCUACUCAAGCGCGGGGCCGCCAAUCCCUGAUCGCUUUGGCGUCGAGGCGGCGGUGUCUUGAUUGCUUGUUCGGAGGGGAGAGCGCAAGCCGUGGCAUCUCCCGUGUGCACGCCUGUGCAUGGCCGGGGGACGUACGGCGCCGUUCCCUCGCCGGCGUUGCCGCCGGCUCGUCAGUCCGAGCAGCUGGCUCUGCUUCCUAUAAGAGCGUGUAUAAUGGUACGUUUAGAGUAGAUGCUUAUAGAAAAAAUGAGAUUUUUUUUUUCAUAAUUGCACUGGCGCAAGUAUGGAUUUUAAUUUUGUUUUAUUUUUUUUCAUUGGUGAAAAGAUUGUAGUUUGGGAAAUAUCUCUAAAAUUUUGGUCAUCUUUUAUUC